CUCUUCUCUCUGGCUCCGAGCUGCGCGCAGUGUCUGGGUGGUGAUCCGAGGAGUUCCUGCGAUCUUCUGCCUCCGGGACUCGGCUGUCUUCCUUAUGCUAAAAAAACUGAGGUUCCGCAGCAGGUUCACCAGCCUGUUAACUCGUUAAUGCCCGAGGUGCACCUGGAAGAAGGGCCCGGCAAUCUGGAGCGGUGCCCAGCUUCUACCCGCCACCUGGAGGGAAACUGAGGCACUUCUCUGGCUUCUACAGCUUCUCUGGCCAGGGAUGCAGACCAGAGGGAUGCUGUGUGACGUUGAAGAAAGUUACUCAACUGCUAGGAACUUCGGCUUGGCGGACAAAUGAAGACCGGUGACUGUAAUGGGGUGCACCAACUUCCCGGUGAGUUAUAGAGAGACCCUCAAGUUCAUGUGACAAUGAGAACGGAGUUUAGGUUAGACUCUGGGUUCAACUUCACCUUGUCGACAGCUGUUGAGAGAUCUAAGACUAAUUAGCUCCACAAGCACAGUAGAAGCAGAGGUAAGGGUCCCACUUUCACAACUCACAUUGAGUUACCAGUCCAGGCACCAGAAGUAAACUUGGUGGCUUCAAGAAUGGUAGCAGAAAUUCCCAGCAUGCCCCUCUGCACUGAACUUCUGGCUCGUCUUAAGGGCCGGAGUCUGCAUCCCUUUUCCUUGAAUUUGGAUGGAUCCUGGGACCUAACUGUACCAAUAAGACAUAAUGGAGAUGAUGCCUGGAGUCUGGAGGGAACCUGCAUUUGGAGCUGUGGCUCAGUGGAUAAAGAGCAAGCAUGAAGGCCUGAGUUCGAUCCCCAACGCUGCACACAUCAGUAGUUCCAGUCCUGGGAAAGGGGGAGGCAGGAGGAUUAGAAAUUCAAGGUCAUCCUCAGCUACACAGGGAGUUCCAAGUGAGUCUGAGCUACAUGAGACCCUGUCUCAUUGAAAAAUAAAUACAAUGAGCAAGGAGCAGGGAUGCCUUUAAUCCCAGCACUCGUGGAAGGAGCCGUCUCCAUGGAACGUGACCAGAAUGGACCAAACAUUCUGCCACAGGAGAUUGCCCUACUGAUCAACCUGCUCAGCUGAGAUCCAUUCGGGAGAGGUUUCAGAAGCCUACAGUCUGCAGUCUGAGGAAACAAGAUCAGCUGAGGAAUUGACGAAUGAGCAAAAUGCAACCUGAGGAAAAAAUAAAUACAAUGAACCAGGAUGUAGGUCAAUGGUAGAGUGCUCACCUAGCACGCAAGGUGCCCUGGGUCCAUCCUCAGCCCAGCAAAAAUUCCAAGAGCUCUCAGCACCCUUACAUUUUAGUUGCAAUUUUAAAGUAUGCCUUAGGCUGGAGGCAAGAAACCACUCCUCCCCAUCAUCCAUUCAGCUUGGGUGGAUGUAACACAAGGGUGCUUUUCUCAAGCUAGCAACAGUGGGGGGCCCCUCACCCUUGGACAUCAGGGACUUGGUAGUAGAAUGUUUAGAUAUACAUGUGAUGCUAGGCUGCCCGAUGUGGAGUCCUGGUGGCUCACAGCCCCUCUAGGGAGACGGCAGGACAUGAAUGCCCAGCUCCACCUCUCCUUAAUCUGCACCCCUCCCUUCCCAUCGACAUCAAUACUUCAAAUCAACUGAGCCCAGCAAGAAGCUGGAAGCCAGGUAGGUGGCUCUCUGUGAGUUCGAGGCCAGCCUGGUCUACAGAGCUAGUUCAAGGGCACACAA